rnacentral:lncRNA from 1 species
CUCGAGGUGCAGCCCUGUGUUUGCGGGUGGGUGGGCUGUCGAGAGUUUCAUAGGUAGGCCUGGCGUCAGCGUCAUCGGGAUGGUCCUGGGUUCCCCACCCACCCGAAUGCGAGCAAUGCAGGGCCUCGUUUCGGAAGAACCCACAGUCUCGGAAAAGCAGGCACCUGGCGCUCCGCAGGGCGUGUCCUCCAGCGCCCAGCGGGGCGGAGAUCCCAAGUCCUGGUCCAGCCAGCCGUGAGACCCGCAGCCGCACUUUAGUGCUCGGGAGACGUUAAUGGGCCUUACUCGCACCUUCAGGUGCCAUCUGGAAGAGCUGGGCAACUACACCCUGAAGGAGGGGCACGUUCCUCUGCCAGGAGCAGCCGGCCUCGGGUCCCAACUAACAGCUCUCUGCCGUCUCUGGAAGUCCCCGCGGUUCUCUGUGUGCCCUGUUGUGGAGGCCUCCAACGCGUGCUCAAUCUUUUCUCCCCAUGCGCCCACCCAGCGGGCCCCGCGUGCGCACUGCGUUCACUACUGAUGAUCCUAGCGCUUGCUACAGGUGCUAGCUAGCCUGCCUCUGACACCUAAACUGAGCUCCGAAGGCUGGAAGGAAUUGGCUCCGUUGGACCGGAAAUGUCAGUGGGAGGAAAGUGCUGCAGUAGAAGGAAUGGCCUGUGUCAAGACCCUUAGAUUCCAGGGAGCAUCAUAAUAGCAGGUAACAGCACUUGCCUCUUGCCAGGCAUGUAGAGUGUGUGUGUCCUGUACCGUUCUGUAAUGUUAAUAUAAUUGUUAUGG